GUUUGCUUCAGCAGUACAUAUAGAGAAAUUGGAACUAUACAGAGAAUAUUAGCAUUGUUCCGGCACAAGGAUGGCAUGGAAAUUCAUGAAGCGUUUCCUAUUUUU